GGGGCACGAUGGAAAAGAAAGAACAAGUUAGUGAUUGAUUUAUAAAACAAAGAAAUAAAUGAAGGAAAUGAAGGUAAAGAUGAUUGAUCUCAUUUAAGACGACUGCGAGGAAAGUUGAGGAAAACAAACGGUGAAAUGAUUUAUAGAGGAAAUUAAUUAUAAUUUGUCAAAAACAAGCAAAAAAACCCAUUAUCUCUUGUACUUUUUUUCAUCCUUCUCCAUUAUUCGCUAAAGAUACAAUUGAUCUUUCCAUGAACGCAGCUUUUGCCGCAGAGAAAAUUCUAGCUAAGAAUUGAAAUGAGAAAUAAUUGUUUCAGACAUGUCGCCAGCGCAGAGAAGUUGUUUGGAGAAGCAACGCAAGGCCACGAGUUUUAAGUCACAACGUGUGUCUCUUUGCCUAGUGGUCGGUAAUUAUCAGCAAUCAUUCUUGACUGGUACCACAAUGCCAUCCAUAAACGCUAUUAAUACCGCUUCCAACAACAAUCACUUUAAUAGUUGUCCUCUCUUGGCUAGUCUGCAGCUGUCGUAAACAAUAAACGCCCCACACUUAUUGUUAAGGAAACGCUAUUUCAACACUCAGACUAGUGUUUAGCGUACGAACUCCAUACAUUAGACGUUAAAGGAUUGUCAAUGUGAAAUAUCCUUGAUAAGCUGCCUUUUAAAAUUUCAAACCUCAAGACUCACUGUGUGAUCUCAGUCGCCGAAUGCAUCUCUCUCUGCGAGUCUCUUUCUUAACGACAUGGCUUCGGUGUUUUCCCUUUUCGAUAAUGAGGUUUAUCGAACAUUGAAUUGUCUCUUUUGUUCAGUCUUUGCGCAUCACUAUUUAAAUAAACUGAAUUUUCUACACGAUUGUAGUAAAGGACAGUUAAGGUACCGGCAGUUCUAGAAAUGUACGCGUAUCAUUCUUCGCGAUCGGACAAAAAAAACUAAACGAAAACCGCGUGGCAGGAAGAAGAACACCAUGCUUUGGGCACGUGUCGAAGUGUUGAAGCCACAUGUAUUAAGGAAAACUUGCGACAUAAUACAUUAACUGAUAGUAAUUAGCGAACAGCUUUCCUUUUCUUCUCUCUUUUCAAAGAAAAAUACGGUUUUAUCAUGAUUUGCUGAAAAUUAGUAAACUAUAAUUAUUUUUCCAAACACACAUACGAUAGAGAUGUAUCUGAACUAGGAAUCCUAUAAAGCCAUGUAGUGUAAGGUUGCUCUCAGAGAAUUGAAAUCAAAACCAUGAAAUGUUAAACACACCGGAGAGAUUGUGUCCAAACGGACAAAAUGUGCUAAAAGGUUUUAGCAUGAAAAUUUCGCUUUCAAACUUCAGCGACAUUUUUAGUCCAUUAUACCAUGCUUUUCCAUAUAAUCACGUUUAAUAGAUAAUAUUAAUGGUGUUGGUAUCAAUUGGAAGCGAUAAAGGUCUAUGAGAAAUAGAUUUCGGAUGUAUUAAAGGCUUAAUAUAAUCCUUAAUUUGUUUAAUAUAUUUAUCUUUACAGAGGCAUUGUUAUAGCAUAAGAAACGAUUGGGAGAAACUGUCUUCUUCGCACUGACUUAUUUCGAUUGUAAUGGCCCCAUUAGAAAACAAAGACUAAUUUACAAAUGCAUUAAACGUAUAAACAGGAAACAGAGCCAUUUCAGAACCAGUAAAUUUUGUUCACUGUCACUUUAUCAUUUUAAAUCUCGACAUAGAUAAGAUUAGAAGUAUGAGACGGCCAUAUUACCAUUCUUUAAAGAUUUUAGUGAUUCCUUACCUAAUUGACAGUUUUGCCUAGCAAUGUCCUUACUGGAAAUCAAAGCUUUUAGUAUCCUUGUGAAGUUUGUUUAAUACAGCACAAACUUCACAAAAAAAUGCGGGCAAAGUGGCUCUAGUAACAAUGUGUAUCUAGCAAGCAAGAAAGCGAAUUUGCGGCCUUUUCUUGACUGGAUCUUUUAACGACAGCCCGGGAAAACGAUCUUUCACGACCAAGGCAAAAGUUAUCCGGCUAACUUAGAAGAGGCUCAUAGGAGGGAGGCUAGUUUCUUCUUUUAAACCUGUUUCCGUCCAUUUCUCAUUAUCUUGUGAUAGGAAAAUCCAUAUAUGAAUCAUAGAAAUGUAUUUUUUAUGCAAACCCAGGAAAAGAAAAAAAGUUUUAUCGCGUGUAUAACACAAUUUAAAGAUACAUAGCAUUCAGAUAAUAUAUGGGCUUAUGUGAAAAGAAGCUGUUGGUUGAAGAUUUUUAUCUAAUAACCUAUAUUUUCAUAUCAUAAAGAAAUAUUGCGAAAAAUGCAAUAGACGCCAUGGGUUUACGAAAGCACUAACGAGACAGACAGACACAAUUGGAACUAAAAUGUGCCGCCGAAGGAUGUAAUACACGCAGUUUUAAGAUCAAGAAAGUUGGAUGCUAAGUUACACAUCUUCUCCGAUGAAAUACGGAAAAAAUCAGAUUUUCUGUUGAUUAACUGAGUAAUUAAAAUUCUUUCAACUGUUUAUUAGGUGCGUUAUCUAUAGCAUUCACCAGAGGCCUUUUAGCUUGAGCUGAAAUCAAUAUUUGGGAUUUCAUUAACAACAUCCUUUGAGAUAAAAAGUCUUUAUUCUAAUUCCCUGUCGAAACGAGGAGUGGUUUGUCAAGAUUAGAGAUUUGAUUUCGCAACUUACUCUUUACUUUAUCAGAAUCAUUACAAAAAGCCCAAACUAUAGACAUAUUAAGGUGUUUUUAUUUAUAUUAUGCAAUUUUAGGUCUACCAAACUAUCAAUUUAAACCCACAGAUGUUGGACUUUGUCUGUGUAAUUUUGCCUUCCGGCUAAGUGAUUGAGAGCAUUCUCUUCUGAAUACAAAUUAACUUGAUGUAGCACGCAAGCAGUUAUGAAGUAACUCUUUUAGAGACUUUGAUCACUGUACCUUGUUUUGUAAAUUAAAAACUCAAACAAGACCUGUCGCAGAAAAUGUAAGCCAAAUAGUCUUAAGUGACCGAAUAAGAAACUUUACGAUUCUGGCAUACCCAGGAGCGUUCAAAAAAGGUUCUGAGUGGCGAAGGUAAAAUUGACGCCAAGAUGUCGAAGUUGCGCGUCUCCGGAAUUCGAAUACCUUGGAGUUCUUGACGAAAUUUCGCACUUCAAAAGCUCAACAGCAACGUUUUUGACCGCUGUGUGGUGAUUAAAGAGACUCUAUAAUACAAUUAACGCUCAAUAAAGAUUAUUAAAAUGUCUCUGUA